rnacentral:rRNA from 1 species
AUGUUUCAGUCCUAUAGGCUUGUGAAGUUGAAGAGCAACAGCUUACAAUAUGGUGUAUUCCUUAAAAAAAUUGCACACAAUUUUCGGGAUGGCCUAACACAAGUACUUAAACAAACACAUAUGCGAUUGCCACCACAUGCCGGUGCACAAGCCAAUCGCUCUGCAUUUGGUGCAUUCCAUCUCACCAUGAACAUGAAGUUCGGUUUACAUCUUAGUCGGGAUCAGAGGAAGAAUAAAGCUACUUCUGAUUGUGGCAUUAGCAGAUGGACAUUGGUUUUUCAUUUGUCAAGGAAAAGACAACAUACAGCAUCUUAUUUUUUGUGA